rnacentral:rRNA from 1 species
AUGACCCACGCCACCAAGGCCAUCUACAGGCUGCUGCUCUCGGAUUACGUCAAGGUCAGCAAGGUGUCGGUGGAGGACAUGCUGUUUGACGAGCAGGACAUCAUUCGUUCCAUGGACAAGAUCGAGGUCAUAGACUUCCACCAGACACUUGAAGUUAAUGGCAUACGCUUCUGGUGCUAUACUACUGGCCAUGUACUUGGUGCUGCCAUGUUCAUGGUGGAUAUUGCCGGUGUUCGCAUUCUUUACACCGGUGACUACUCCCAUGAAGAAGACCGGCACCUGAAAGCUGCUGAGAUCCCCCAGUUCUCCCCUGAUAUUUGCAUUAUUGAGUCAACUUAUGGCGUGCAGCAACACCAACCCCGCCAUGUCAGAGAAAAGCGCUUCACUGAUGCCAUCCACAACACUGUUUCUCAAGGGGGGCGUGUUCUUAUCCCGGCAUAUGCUCUUGGCGCCGUGGCACGGCCGCACAUGGAGGGCCAGGGCGAAGACAUGGCCACGGUGGUGCAGCCUGUGGUCCACAUCGCCGGCAAGAAGAACCACCACGAGGAUAAGUGCUGUGGAUAG